CAGUCGCCGCGGGAAUACGUAGGGUGCAAGCGUUAAUCGGAAUUACUGGGCGUAAAGCGUGCGCAGGCGGUGAGUUAAGUCUGCUGUGAAAUCCCCGGGCUCAACCUGGGAAUGGCGAUGGAUACUGGCUGGCUAGAGUGUGUCAGAGGAUGGUGGAAUUUCCGGUGUAGCGGUGAAAUGCGUAGAGAUGUGGAGGAACACCGAUGGCGAAGGCAGCCCCCUGGGCCAAUACUGACGCUCAUGCACGAAAGCGUGGGGAGCAAACAGGAUUAGAGACCCGUGUAGUCCCUGUCUCUUAUAC
rnacentral:rRNA from 1 species